rnacentral:rRNA from 1 species
AAAUAGAACUUUGCAGAGAGAGUUAAGAGGGCGUGAAACCGUUAAUUGGCAAACGAAUCGGAGCCACGAAGUCGUUUCGUCGAGGUUCGCCUCGUUGUAAGCGUACACUGCACCCAGUUAGACGAUUGGCGGUGGAAACAGCGAGUCUCGGGAGGUAGUAGUUUGGCUCCAUGAAUUUGGAUGUCCGAAUUGCUGGCCCGCGGGCAAGAGAACUACCACCAAAUACUGACUGGUAAGUGAAGUCGCUAGCGGCGCGCGUUGUUACACGUUUGACGUGUAUGUUUCAAGUUCGGUAUCUUUGAAUUUGGACUUGCUUGUUACCAAUGGGGCAACUCUUGGUGCUUGUAUAGCUUCCAUCUAAUCGGGUAUCGACUUAGCAUGCGCUUGUAUGAACGUGAAUCGUUUGAUAGCGCGCGUCUGUUGGUGGCAACAAUCGCAGUGAGUAGGUCGGCUUUCCGAACGACCCGUCUUGAAACACGGAAGGAGUCUAGUUAGGCAUCAAGUCGAUCGGUCUUGAAUAGGCCAGACUGGAGUUUUCACUCCGAUUGAAGGCGUAGAGAAUCAUGUGAUCUGUGGCAAUCCAUGCUGCAAGCGCAACAUGUGCCUGCUCGUAUGCCAUUGCGCAAUCAUGGGCGGAGUAAAGAGAUGUCUGACUGGUACCCGAAAGAUGGUGAUGCUUGGGCAAAUUGAAGCCAGAGGAAACUCUGGUGGAGGAUUUAGUCUGACGUGCAAAUCGAUCGUCAGCCUGAGUAUAGGGGCGAAAGACUAAUCGAACCAUC